rnacentral:misc_RNA from 1 species
UCGGCAAUUAAUCUCAUGAAUCAUAUUACAUUCAUAAAUUCCCCCAUUUUUAUUCAGUUCCUCCACCUCGCUGAAGCCAAUGGGCUUGCAUACUCGUUAAAAUUAUCUUGGCAAUCCAAACUUCAAUCAGCUCGAUUGGAUUUAUGAACUUUAUACCAAGAGAGGAACUUCGGCUAUUUGGAUGUGUCUAUCUCCAUGGAGGCUGUGGAUGUUUAUAUUGUAACGAGAAAGGCUCCCAACCACCAUCUGGUUCCCUCCUUUUCCCACCCACUCCAGAGCUCGAGGAGGGUUGCAAGUUGCCCCUCAGAUGCUCCUCGAUUGAUCUGCUUUGACCAGUCAUGAAAAGUUGCCUCAAACCCCCAGGACCUCCUUCAAUUGCAAAACCAGAAUUUAGAUCAAAGUUAGGCCGUGAGGGCCCUGCACCAUUUAAACUUAGAGGCAGUGCACUGGUCAUACUCAUCAUGAAAGAGGGUUGGGAAUAAGCAGGAGGAACAGCAGAUGUAGAACCCAAAAUUUGAGGCACCACAGGGGUUCCUCUUGAAUCUACCAUGUAAGGUAUGGAGGCACCAGAUCCAUACACCGCCGAGGAGAUGGACAUGGAAGGCGCUGUGGUCAGUCCAUUGUACCCAAAAAUAGGAGAAUGUGUGUAUGAAGCUGUUGGAAUCCCAAGAACACCCCCCAUUCUGGACACAUUUGCUUCCACUGUAGGAUCCAGAGGCUUGCCAUUUGGCAAGGAUGGAUUUUGAGGAACAAAAUCUGCUCUCCUGGCUUCCGCUCUACUACCCACUUCAACUCUGGUACCCAUGAUAGAAAUAACAGGAUCACCCGAUUUAGAACCUCCAAAAGCACUUACAUUUUGGUUGCCAAGAUGGAGACCUUGAUCCAAAGAAUCAUUGUGGAAAAGAGGCCUAUCAUUCAAAUCAAAAUUCCUCAGUGAAGGCUGCAUAGACGAUGACGAAGAUGCAGGAGAUGGGCUGCGAUGGCCAUUCCGGGGGUAGAACAGCUGUCCCUCCAUCCUCAAACCUGAAGGCGGACCAUCAGCAUCAUUGCUAAUACAAUUUAAAUCCAAGUUGGGCCUUUCUGACCUUCUUAGACCCACUUCUAGUGAAGAUUCCCCGGAAUGCAGGCCAGAUGAGACUGGAAUUUGUCUUCCUGAAAUAAAGUCCAUCACCUUCUCAUCACCAUCUUCAGCCACAUUGAGAUCAAUAUCAAGGCUGUCCUGUCUCUGUUUUGAACUACUGCUGGUUCCCCCAGCCUCUAGAUUCUUGUCACCAUCAAAAGUCUUGCGUGGUGAAGCUGGUCGAAAAGCACUAGUAGCUGCAGAUCCUUUCCAUCCAAGAAUGCCCUCAAACUGCAAAGGUGCUGAAGGACAUCCAGAUGCUGCUGCUGGCCUUGAAGCUGAAACAACUGAAAUUGGAGUUGAGAUGGGAUUCACUGGACGAUCCAUAUCAUCAGAACAGACUUCUAGAUUCAGAUCAAACGUACAUAACUCUUUCUCUGUUUUAACUUCUGGCUCUGGAGCCACUUCAGUCACCUGCGAGGACUCCAAAUCAUGUGUGCCAUUUUUUGCUUCAGUUUCCAUAUUAUUGGAACUAAUUAAGUGCCCCUCUUCCCCAGGAUAUGCAUCAGCAGGCUGAUUUUGUCCGGUUGGAAUGUCUUCUAGAGGGACCUCCAUACGUGAGUCCUGCUUCGCAUUUAUAGAAUCUGGGCUACCUGGCUUCCUAACACCACUUUCCAUUAUUUUCUCUGAAGAUGAGCUGCAAGAUGGUUCUCUGUAAUCUACCACCUCUCUUUCCACUUCUUGUGCAACUUGUCGAGCAACUUCGAGAGCAUCAACUAUUCCAUAUUCAAGUUCAAUAUCAGAUCUCCUCCUGUCAAUUGGAUCGGGGCUCUGGGUGUCCACGUCUGCCUUAGAAAAAUCAGAAUCAUCUCUUAAAUCUUCAGCUCCAUCACUGCUAUGCUGCCGAUCAUCAUCCACUGCUCCAAUGUCUGCCAUCCGCGAAAAAGGAGUCCCUAAAUACUCAGUUUUUACUAAUUUUCUGUCACUGUCAGAUGAAUCCUGCAGAUUGUCAGGAGAACAAUCAUCUUUAGCCAUAGACUUGAACACAUCUUCUGUCCCAGCUUUUGGUGGAGAUACAGAUGUUCCUGCAUCAACAAUUGCAGUACUGUUUGGAGCAGAAUCAUCCUCUUU